rnacentral:lncRNA from 1 species
UAGAGAUGGGGUCUUGAUAUGUUGCUCAGGCUGGAGUGUAGUAUGCCAUGGUCCAGUAGCGUGACCAUAGCACACUACAGUCAAGAACUACUGGACUCAAGAGAUUCUCCCACCUCAGCCUCCCAAGCAGCCGGGACUACAGAGGCACACAACCAUACCUGGCUGUUCAUGGAUUAUUAACAGUGGUAAUUCUGAAUACAAAAAUCUUGGAUGAUUGGCCUUUGGUUUGCCACUGCUCAUCUGGUGAAAGCAUUUUCCCCAUUAGGAUAAGCAGGUUUGCCAUUACCUGAGGGUAUGCAGCACAACUUUACUGUCUUACUCAAGGUCAAGUUCAUCAUCUUCAGCUCUUUAUCACCAAGAAUGAGGAACUCAGCCAGGCACGGUGGCUCAU